CCUACGGGGGGCAGCAGUGGGGAAUAUUGGGCAAUGGGCGCAAGCCUGACCCAGCAACGCCGCGUGAAGGAAGAAGGCUUUCGGGUUGUAAACUUCUUUUCUUGGGGACGAAGAAAGUGACGGUACCCAAGGAAUAAGCCACGGCUAACUACGUGCCAGCAGCCGCGGUAAUACGUAGGUGGCAAGCGUUAUCCGGAUUUAUUGGGUGUAAAGGGCGUGUAGGCGGGAUUGCAAGUCAGAUGUGAAAACCACGGGCUCAACCUGUGGCCUGCAUUUGAAACUGUAGUUCUUGAGUGCUGGAGAGG
rnacentral:rRNA from 1 species